rnacentral:rRNA from 1 species
UCCGGUGAUUAUAGCGAAGAGGAAACACCCGUAACCAUUCCGAACACGGAAGUUAAGCUCUUCAGCGCCGAUGAUACUUCGAGGGCGACCUCGCGGGAAAGUAGGUCGUUGCCGGGA